rnacentral:rRNA from 1 species
GCCUACGGGAGGCAGCAGUGGGGAAUAUUGCACAAUGGGGGAAACCCUGAUGCAGCAACGCCGCGUGAGUGAAGAAGGUUUUCGGAUUGUAAAGCUCUGUUAGCAGGGAAGAAUAAUGACGGUACCUGACUAAGAAGCCCCGGCUAACUACGUGCCAGCAGCCGCGGUAAUACGUAGGGGGCAAGCGUUAUCCGGAUUUACUGGGUGUAAAGGGAGCGUAGACGGCUGUGCAAGUUUGAAGUGAAAUGCCGGGGCUCAACCCCGGAACUGCUUUGGAAACUGUACAGCUAGAGUGCAGGAGGGGG